rnacentral:rRNA from 1 species
AUUGAACGCUGGCGGCAGGCCUAACACAUGCAAGUCGAGCGGAUGAAGGGAGCUUGCUCCUGGAUUCAGCGGCGGACGGGUGAGUAAUGCCUAGGAAUCUGCCUGGUAGUGGGGGAUAACGUCCGGAAACGGGCGCUAAUACCGCAUACGUCCUGAGGGAGAAAGUGGGGGAUCUUCGGACCUCACGCUAUCAGAUGAGCCUAGGUCGGAUUAGCUAGUUGGUGGGGUAAAGGCCUACCAAGGCGACGAUCCGUAACUGGUCUGAGAGGAUGAUCAGUCACACUGGAACUGAGACACGGUCCAGACUCCUACGGGAGGCAGCAGUGGGGAAUAUUGGACAAUGGGCGAAAGCCUGAUCCAGCCAUGCCGCGUGUGUGAAGAAGGUCUUCGGAUUGUAAAGCACUUUUAGUGGGGAGGAAGGGCAGUAAGUUAAUACCUUGCUGUUUUGACGUUACCAACAGAAUAAGCACCGGCUAACUUCGUG